rnacentral:rRNA from 1 species
GAACGACUGCUAGACUGGAUAGCAGACAAGAAGGCAUCUUCUUGUUUUUAAAAGACCUAUUAAUAGGUAUGCUUAGGGAGGAGCUUGCGUCACAUUAGUUAGUUGGUGGGGUAAAGGCCUACCAAGACUAUGAUGUGUAGCCGGGCUGAGAGGUUGAACGGCCACAUUGGGACUGAGACACGGCCCAAACUCCUACGGGAGGCAGCAGUAGGGAAUUUUCGGCAAUGGAGGAAACUCUGACCGAGCAACGCCGCGUGAACGAUGAAGUAUUUCGGUACGUAAAGUUCUUUUAUUAGGGAAGAAUAAAUGAUGGAAAAAUCAUUCUGACGGUACCUAAUGAAUAAGCCCCGGCUAACUAUGUGCCAGCAGCCGCGGUAAUACAUAGGGGGCAAGCGUUAUCCGGAAUUAUUGGGCGCAAAGGGUGCGUAGGCUGUUAAAUAAGUUUAUGGUCUAAGUGCAAUGCUCAACAUUGUGAUGCUAUAAAAACUGUUUAGCUAGAGUAAGAUAGAGGCAAGUGGAAUUCCAUGUGUAGUGGUAAAAUGCGUAAAUAUAUGGAGGAACACCAGUAGCGAAGGCGGCUUGCUGGGUCUUUACUGACGCUGAGGCACGAAAGCGUGGGGAGCAAACAGGAUUAGAUACCCUGGUAGUCCACGCCGUAAACGAUGAGUACUAAACGUUGGAUAAAACCAGUGUUGAAGUUAACACAUUAAGUACUCCGCCUGAGUAGUACGUACGCAAGUAUGAGACUUAAAGGAAUUGACGGGACUCCGCACAAGCGGUGGAUCAUGUUGUUUAAUUCGAAGGUACCCGAAAAACCUCACCAGGUCUUGACAUGCUUCUGCAAAGCUGUAGAAACACAGUGGAGGUUAUCAGUUGCACAGGUGGUGCAUGGUUGUCGUCAGCUCGUGUCGUGAGAUGUUGGGUUAAGUCCCGCAACGAGCGCAACCCUUAUUGUUAGUUGCCAGCACGUAAUGGUGGGGACUUUAGCAAGACUGCCAGUGAUAAAUUGGAGGAAGGUGGGGACGACGUCAAAUCAUCAUGCCCCUUAUGACCUGGGCUACAAACGUGAUACAAUGGCUGUUACAAAGGGUAGCUGAAACGCAAGUUUUUGGCGAAUCUCAAAAAAACAGUCUCAGUUCGGAUUGAAGUCUGCAACUCGACUUCAUGAAGUUGGAAUCGCUAGUAAUCGCGAAUCAGCAUGUCGCGGUGAAUACGUUCUCGGGGUUUGUACACACCGCCCGUCA